UGAUACUAAGCCAUGUUAGUCAUUGUAGUAAUACAAGGCAGACGGCUCAGUAACACGUAGUCAACCUAACUUAUGGACGGGGAUAACCUCGGGAAACUGAGAAUAAUACCCGAUAGGUCAUGAUGCCUGGAAUGGUUUAUGACUCAAAUGAAUGUCGCCGUAGGAUGGGACUGCGGGCUAUCAGCUUGUUGGUGAGGUAAUGGCCCACCAAGGCUAUAACAGCUACGGGCUCUGAGAGGAGUAGCCCGGAGAUGGGUACUGAGACAAGGACCCAGGCCCUAUGGGGCGCAGCAGGCGAGAAAACUUUGCAAUGCGCGAAAGCUCGACAAGGUUAAUCUGAGUGGUUCCUGCUAAAGGAACCUUUUGUUAGUCGUAGAACCACUGAUGAAUAAGGGGUGGGCAAGUUCUGGUGUCAGCCGCCGCGGUAAAACCAGCACCUCAAGUGGUCAGGAUGAUUAUUGGGCCUAAAGCAUCCGUAGCCUGUUCUGUAAGUUUUCGGUUAAAUCCAUAAGCUCAACUUAUGGGCUGCCGAAAAUACUGCAGGACUAGGGAGUGGGAGAGGUAGACGGUACUCGGUAGGAAGGGGUAAAAUCCUUUGAUCUAUUGAUGACCACCUGUGGCGAAGGCGGUCUACCAGAACACGUUCGACGGUGAGGGAUGAAAGCUGGGGGAGCAAACCGGAUUAGAUACCCGGGUAGUCCCAGCUGUAAACGAUGCAAACUCGAUGAUGCGUUGGCUUGUUGCUAGCGCAGUGUCGCAGGGAAGCCGUUAAGUUUGCCGCCUGGGAAGUACGUACGCAAGUAUGAAACUUAAAGGAAUUGGCGGGGGAGCACCACAAGGGGUGAAGCCUGCG
rnacentral:rRNA from 1 species